ensembl:lncRNA
UUGUUGGUAAAAGUCAUAUGCGAGUAGGCGUCAACUAUCAUGAAUUCACACCUGAGAAGACAAAGGCCUGCAUAAUGAGCUGCAUAAUGAGCCAUUCAGUCAGCUGUGUCACUGAGAGGGAUGAGGUACAAGAAAGAAUGUGAGGACAAAAUAAAUGUAUAUAAUUUUAUGUUUGUAGUUUAUUUAGAAUAUAUUUAAUUAUCCCACAACAUAAUUUAAUAUUCACUUGUGAGUACAGUUAAACAGUUUAUUAGGAACAUUCAAAGCUGACUUUCAAACUGAAUUUUCUGCAUCAUUACUCCAGUCACACAAUCCUUCAGAAAUCCUUUUAACAAUCUUAUUUUCUACAAAAAAAAACAUUUAUUGUUAUUAUUAUCAUUAUUAUUAUUAUUAUUAUUAAUGUUGAAAAGAGCUGAGAAUAUUUUUUUCAGGUUUUUUAGGGGGGGUAAAUUGAAAGAACAGCAUUGUUUAUUACAUUUGUUACAGUUACAUUUAUUGGUACAUUUAUAUUAUUUACAUCAAGCUUUUGAAUGGUAUAGUAGUGUAUAUUGUUAUUGAAACUUCAUAAUAUUUCACUUGAUUAUACAUUUAGUCAGGAAUUAUAGUUUGGAAAAAGUCUUUGGAAAAAGUCUAACUAGUAAAAUGUUUACACGUUAUGUGAAAACUAGUACAAGUAUAUAAAUAAAUAAGAGACUUACUCAUGUUUAUGAUCUCUGCUGGAUAAAGUGCUUCAUUUUUUUUUUGAGGAAAUCCAAAUCUCAAAUCCUCAACCACAUCACAUCUUUUUGGGGUGAAUUAUGUCUUAAUCAGGCGGCCAGUCGAUGAAUUUAAGUUUUAGUCACUUCCUUGUUGUCCUCAUGAGAGAGAGGUUGCCGCUCGGCGCGGACACAGCCUCUGUGUUGCCAGAUCCAUCUGUUAUAAGCAUUUCUGGACUUGUCUUUUCCAUUUUUUGACACUUUAGAAAGUUAAUAAAGAAAGUCAUUGCAGUUAAAGGUCAACAAUAUCUUUAUCUUACCUUAAUUGCAAAAGAUUUUAAAUAAUUUCAUUUUAUUUUUAUUUAUUUAUCGUUUUUGUUUGUUUUAAUAGCAAUAAAUGGCAAAACUGCACCAAUGAUUCGGCUGUGCAGGUCCGGCUGGCCUAGAACAUGGGCUGGUAUAUGUUAUGCAAACGUUGGGUGCGUAAACAUUAAUGAUCCCGACUGUAACAUCACAGUUGGUGUUAUGUUGGGAUUCGGCUUUUUUUCAGUUGUCUCUUGCAUGCACAAGAUUUACAUAAGGAGGAGGAAACAAUGGUGUUUGAGGCUCACAGUAUGUCAUUUCCAUGUACAGAACUCUUAUUAUUCAACUAUGCCAAGGUAAUUCCAUUUCCCUUUCGAACGUUUACUUCACGUUGUGUGAAUGGGAAAACUUCUGUUUUAAACUGUACUGAAGCUUGAUUUGUUCACGUUUGUGUAGCUGCACAAACCAACAGCGCUUUAGCCCGCCAUAAGGGGCAGAGCUGACCUGUAUAUAAGUCGUCUCGCAGCACCAUUCAUCAGAUUAUUCUCCUUUAGCGAUGAGGGUCAUCUCUUAGCUGUCUCUGGAAGAAGCCAAGAAGCCGAGGAAGAAGAAGCUCCAGCUCUGCUCGCCACCAUCGAAUACGCCUGAAGCAGCUAGGAUUCACUGCGGCCAUCUGGCGCUUUAAGAGCAAGCAAGAGCGAUUCCUAAAGACCAAAUUUCUUGCAUGAGACGGACGGGCACAGUGAGUGUGUUGUCUGUCUCGGCAGCGCCCACACAGAGGCUGCUCUCACUGAAGGCUCAUGCACCCUUUGCGAGAGUAUGAGUCUUUCACCUUUUCUCUCUCAACCCUCCCAUUUCCUUUCUCUCCUAAGAGAAAGAAACAGUGGGGCAGCAAGUCCUUCUCAGCAGGCUCGAGUGGUGUCACGUUGGCUCAGUGCCCACAUGCCCCGCCUUCCCCUCGUCCUCUCGCCUCGCCGGUGUGUUUCACAUAGGAGGACCAGCGCCCCAAUUCAGUUGAGAGCAGCUUGGUUUCAGUCGACGCAUCUGAAGGGGACGUCAUCAGCAAGGAGGUUAUCGCCGACGACUCCAUGUCCUUGGUGGCGUCUGAUACAGAAGAGUUGGGAGAUUCGGGUGAUGAGCCUGAAGUCCAUACCCCCUCUCAAACUCCGAGGCCGAAGCCGGACGCUGAACUCUUCUGUCUUGUCAAAGGCGGUGGAGGAUCUGGGCCUCGAGUACUCGGCUCCGGAAGAGCCCGCCCACGGUCUGUUGGACAAGGGGUACCUGCCGGGAAGCCACCAACAAUCCUCUCGCCAACGCCCCGCCCCGUUCUUGUCUGCAGUUCAUGACAAGCUCACCAAGACGUGGCGUGCCCCCUACUCGGCCCGAGUAAAUCCCUCUACAGCAGCAGCUCUCACCACCGUUGAUGGCACGGACAACAAGGGAUACAGCAAGCUCCCCCCUCUGGAUUAAGCGGUUGCUGCUCAUCUGUUCCCGCCAUCUACCCUCGCAUUGAAGGCCCAUGCAGCAAAUCCCUCUAAGCCCUGCAGGACCACCUCGGCUUAUGCAGCUUAUGUGGGUCGGCGCUGCAUACAAUGACAUUCUCCAGGUGUUUCAGGCCAAGUGAUCGGCAAGACCAUGGCCAGUUUGGUGUUGCUGGAGUGCCACCUAUGGUUGAACCUCACUGAGAUCAGGGACGCUGAAAAAAUGGCCUUCCUCAACUCACCAGUCUCGCCGAAGGGUCUGUUCGGCCCCGCUGUGGAUGGGUUUGCAGAGAGGUUUUUCGAAGCCACCAGAAGAACCCUGCCAAUCAGCCUGCAAUGCCGGAGCAGCCUCAGCCCCAAAACAAAUCUGAGCCUGGGCUGCAACAGCGCUCCCGGAUGGCAAAACACUUCCACUUUCCAAAAGUGUCAAGGUCCCCGCCCAUGAGUUGUGCUGGACCUCGAGCCGCCUAAGCCGUCCUGAUGCACCAGAGAAGAAGAGGAGGGGCUCUGUUCUCACCUUGGCUGGAACACCCCACACAAACUGCUCGCUUUCAUUCUCCAUCCCUCCGAGCACCUCUGAGCAAUGGAGUUUCCUUUCCAGCGGGUCACGUCCUGCAGGUGCAGUGCGUACCCGAAUGUUUUACCGCUGUGAUAGCAGACCCACAUACAAUAAAGAGCUAAUUUCCUCUUCACUCACUUUCUCACACUCAAGUGAAUGCGAGUUCCCCAUCUAUUCUUGUGAGCUCUCAUUCUAAAAAAUAAACCCUCUUGCCUCCCGUUUCACGGCAGCCAUUCUGGGAGUGGCAAGUUGGGUUUUAAAAACAAUUUGACGAGGUUACUCGCUCCAAUUCGUUCGCAGGCCACCUCGAUUCAGAGGCGUCAUUCAAACUUCUGUUCCAGACAACAAAGCACUCAUUUUCCAACAGGAGGUGCAGACGUUGCUUGCAAAAGGUGCUGUAGAAAUAGUGCCCCCAGCGAACAGUGAGUCAGGCUUUUUCAGCCGCUACUUCCUUGUUCCAAAGAAAGAUGGCGGGCUCAGAUCCAUUCUGGAUCUCAGACGUCUGAACCAUUCACUUAUGCGCCAGUCGUUUAAGAUGUUAACUAUAAAACAGAUCCUCGCACACAUUUGCCCCGAGGACUGGUUUUUGACUGUGGAUCUGAAAGAUGCAUACUUUCACAUCUGUAGACACGGCUCUUUCCCCUCUGAGACAGAUGGGAAUCCAUGUUUUGAACUACCUCAACGAUUGGCUGGUUCUAGCCAGGUCAGAACGGGAGUUGGCUGCUCACAGAGAGCUGUUACUCAGCCACUUGGAGCGCCUUGGGUGGAUCAUCAACACGCACAAGAGUUAGUUGUUACCCAGAUGGCGAGCGGUCUUUCUGGGAAAGAUUUUAGACUCCAUCCAAAUGCGGGCAUGGAUUACGUCGAAACAAUCCCUAACUAUUCAGUGAUUGGUGGCGUCUCUCAAACCGGGGCGACAAGCCCCCUAAAUCUUUUUCAGAGGUUGCUUGGCCUUAUGGCGGCCGCCGCCUCUGUAUUUCCUCUGGGCCUGCUUCACAUGCGGCCCCUUCAGUUUUGGCUCAAAGCCCGCAUUCCACCCCAUGCCUAGCGCCUGGAGCGGUUUACUAUCAGGGUAGACCACAGCUGUAUCAAGGCUGUGGCGCCCUGGAUGACGUCUCACCUGUUCCAAACAGGAAUGAGGUUAGGCAUUACCUCCAGAAGGAAGGUAAUCACGACGGACCCAUCCAACUCGGAUUGGGGCACCCUGUUGGAGGGCAAUCCAGCGUUCGUCUCCUGGUCAGCCCCGGAGCAAUGCCUGCAUAUCAACUGCCAAGAGAUGUUGGCAGUUUACAUAGCCCUGAAAACCUUCCUUCCAUCUUUGAAAGGGUACCACGUCUUGGUCCAGUCGGACAGCAUGACAAUGGUGGCUUAUAUCAAUCACCAAGGUGGUCUCAGGUCACAGCCUCUUUGCAGGAUGGCUCGUCGCCUCCUCUUUUGGGCACAGAAAGAAUUCCGCUCGCUAAUGGAGGUUCAUGUGCCGGGCAGAUUGAACCUUGACGCAGACAUGCUGUCCAGAGGCAAGGUAGAAGUUUCAGAUGUAUGUUUUGAUCACACCUUCUGUUUCCCAUUUCUAUAAGUAUAAAACUUUGAGGUAUAAGUUGCUAUGUGCUUUGUUUAUUUAGAUGAUGGAGAGGAAGGGGAUGCAUCUCAAUAAACUUGUGAGAUGGAACCUAUACGUAGCUGUGCUAAUUUUACUAUAUCUAUAUGCAAGUGUGACUUUUGUGGUUGAGAAAAUGUAUAAUUAUAACUAUGCUUUAGAGGUGUUAUGGAUAUUUUUAUGAGCAGUUGCAUGCUUUACUAAUAGACCCUGCAAUUCUUCCAUUUGUACUUUUGACACUCUGUAUUAAGUGUGAUAAACGUCAUGCACUCGGUCUGUGUAUGAAUAUAGAAGCCUGCCAAAUAAGGAAGACAGGGAAGUUGAUGCAAAUUUUAUGCAAGGCUAUAAAAGGCCAAGGAGAGCUUUGUGCGGGGCCGCACUCCGAUGGUGAAGACUUACUUGCUGUUAUUUUCAUUUUUUAUUACUUAUUUGUUGUUGUCUACUAAUAAAGUGAAGCCAUUACAAAUGGUGAUGCGUUAAAAUUUUAUUAAAAUAAAAGUCUCUGAGUAAUUUAUUUAUGAGUUAAAUAUUAUUCUGGAACUGAAUAUUCCUUUCAAGCCUCAAGAAGUACGAACUCAGCUGAGCAGAUUUGAGUGCUGGGGAGGAUUCCAAGUCUUUUCGUCACAUAUCCAGAUCUCAACGGUAAGGGCAAAUGAUUUGCAGCUGUUGAUGAGAAUAUGGAAUUUGCAUUAAAUGUUAUAUAGAUUUCCCUCAGGAUAAAACAUAACAUCCAUACCCAAAAUACAAAUUUUGAAGCAGUUAUUUUCAUUUAUUGAAAACUUAUAUUUUUAAUAAGUAGCUAGAUAAGAAGGUUUAGGCCAGGCGGCCCGCGGGCCACAUCCGGCCCGUGAGAGAAAAGUGUUUGGCCCGCGCUAAUUUCAAAUAAAGUGGCAUGAAAAUUCAAACGCAGCAUCAGAAAGUGACAUUAACUUACAUCGUGUCUACACUGGACGCGAGCAGCGCGGCGCAACAAAUCCUUUGAACACAAAGUUCAAAUGAUCUGCAAUGCUUUGUCGCGUCCAUUGUAGAUAUACGAUGUGACAGCAAAAACAUGGCAAGUGUUAAGUAAAGAAAAGUGGACACUGAAAAUAGAUGAUUCAAAUGUGAAUGGACUGAACAGUUUUAAGUGAGUGAGUGAGUGAUACCAUCUCUAUGGAUGCUGGUUAGCAGUGAGUUCAGUUGUAACGUAAGUUUGCUUUAGCAUAAUUCAUUUUCAAGAUCUGAGGUAAAAUAUCUAUUGUUGCUUUGCUUACACUAUGGCUAUAAAGAUCACUAAUAUUCAAACUCACAUUAGACACUUUUAACACUGAAUAAAUCACAUAAUCAUUACCUGAGAUUAUCACUGUCAUUUUUUUGUAUGUUGUUCCUGCCGCGAUGUCGCAGAAAAUAAAAAGCAUUUCUAAAAUAGAAUUCCGUGUCGCUUAUUGUCACGUGUCGCUGUUGCGGUUGGUAAGGACAAAAACUACAUGGAAAUACUUUUUAUCGCGUCACGUCUGUUUGGGACACACAGUGUUACAGUUUGAUCCCCAAAAAAAUCUAAGUAUAAAAAUAUUAAUGCUGACAGAUUUAAUAAUUGAAUCUGCAAUUAGGGAAAGUGGAGAGAAGAGAUCCAGUCUGGAGAUGAGCAGGAACAGUUGAUUUGCAUGGCAGACAUGGAGAUCCAGAUUUUUUGGUUUGUUCAUAUGUUUUUAAUAUUCAACAGGCAAAGUUCUUCUGUAUCUAAAUGCAAAAAUGUUCAUAAUUGUUUGAAUAAAACAGACUACAGGGGGGAAAAUCUGAAUAUUUAUCUUGUGACCAUCUUUUGAUUAUUUUAACAAAAGCAACAAUAAUAUAAUAAUUGUAAUAAUUAUAUAUAUAUGUAUAUGUAGGUCAGUGGCCGUUGGCUUGGUAUCGUUGGCAGAAUUCGGCCCUCGGUGAAAACUAAUUGAGGGGCCCUGGUUUAGGCUGUGGGUGUGUGCAGUUUACAUUGUAGAAAAAAACUUAGAAGUAUCGUCAAGUUAUGUUUACCACAGGCUUUAUUUUAUUCAUGAAUUGAAAAAUCCCAUAAGAAAAUCUCAAAGGAACCAGCGGCUAAUUACACUUCCUAGUUCUGACAUCAUAGUUCCCCCACUCUAUUUCAGAUCUAUUAAUCUAUUAACUUAAUACUUACAUUUCAUGUCCUGAAGAACAGUUCUCCUCCAGACGUACACUGGAAGACCACGAAGGGCUCGUUUUGAUGUUGACAUCAUGUAAACAAAAAAAUAAACAUGUUAAACAAGCAGGCCAACUUUAUUUUAUAUACAAUGAAGAAAAUGAUGGAGGUAGUUCAGACAGGAACCACAUUGGCAAGUUUACUUGAGUUUAUUGAACACAAUUUAUCUUUGGCGGUAUGGUUCCUUAUGGGGGUUCUUACUCCCAGAAUAAUUGACAUACAAGAGCUUUAACAUUAACCCCCCGGAACCAUGAAUUUAGAAAUACAUAACAAUUAAGUCUUUAAAGCAAACAGUGAUAAUCAUGUGGAUGUGCAAGUGAUAUGUUUAUCCUGUAGCCUGGUUAUGAAGAUGGGUGUCUCGCAGCGGUGAGGUCCAUACCAGCUAAGAUUUGGAAGCCUUAGUGAUCUGAAACAAAGAAGACGACAGCCAGAAGGUGCACAGUAAUGUGCUCAUGCUUAUAAUGGGGAGGGAGGGAGGGUUGCGAGCCAUUUGAGCCUACUUACCGAGCCAUAGUGCCACGUAUAUAUAUGUCCCGUAUCUAAUAGGAGAGAGGUGGUGAUUGGAGCGAUUUGACAGCUGACCGCAUCAGCUGUUCACAGCCUUGCCUCCAUGGCCUGACUGAACUAACGCUGCGCUCGAUUUAGUGUUUGUGUAUUUGCACUCACCUGAAGAUCAAACAUUUAGAAUGUCAUGCAACAUCUUUCUCUGAUAUGGUGAAACUCAGCACAAACAUAGAAAACCAUAAACACACACAAUAAGUGAAUAACCAACAAUGGAUGUAGAAAAGUAAAAGCAGAGUCUGUAUCCUGUUAUGUGAGGACACAUCACACAACUUGCUCUUUAAGGCUCACUCUUUCAAUUCAGCAUCCAGCUCAGCCUGCAAUUAAAGAAAGUUUGUAAAGGUUUACUACAAGUUUGUAGAUUGCUUUUGUAUAUUUAAUAUAUUGCAAAAUUCCCGUCUGUGUAUUAGCUUUAACCUAAUUUUGGAUUAAUACUCUUAGCAGCUAGUUGUUUAAAUACAGACCAAAUAAAAAUCACAUUUACCAGGACAUUUCCCAAAAAAGCAUUGUAUAGCUAAGAUGAUGGGGCAGCUGUGGCCUUAUGGUUAGAGAAUUGGACUUGUAACCAGAAGGUCGCAGGUUCGAGUCUCGGUGCUGGCAGGAGUUGUAGGUGGGAGGGAGUUAAUGAACAGCGCUCUCUUCCACCCUCAAUACCCAUGGCUGAAGUGUCCUUGAGCAAGGCACUGAACCCCCAGUUGCUCCCCGGGCGCUGGAUAUAGCUGCCCACUUUCAUGAUCGUUGAAACAUUUGCCACCAAAUGGUUUCAACAAUCGACUUAGCUCAUGAUGCUUUUGAGAACCGCAGCCCUAACCAUCACAGUUAACAUAGUACCCCUAGCGAACAGUGAGUCAGGCUUUUUUAGCCGCUACUUCCUCGUUCCAAAGAAAGAUGGCGGGCUCAGACCCAUUCUGGAUCUCAGACGUCUGAACCAUUCACUUAUGCGCUGGUCGUUCAAGAUGUUAACUAUAAAACAGAUCCUUGCGCACAUUUGCCCCAAGGACUGGUUUUUGAAUGUGGAUCUGAAAGAUGCAUACUUUCACAUCUGUAGACGUGGCUGUUUCCCCUCUGAGACAGAUGGGAAUCCAUGUUUUGAACUACCUUAACGAUUGGCUGGUUCUAGCCAGGUCAGAAUGGGAGUUGGCUGCUCACAGAGAGCUGUUACUCAGCCACUUGGAGCGCCUUGGGCGGAUCAUCAACUUGCACAAGAGUUAGAUGUUACCCAGAUGGCAAGCGGUCUUUCUGGGAAAGAUUUUAGACUCCACCCAAAUGCGGGCAUGGAUUAUGUCGAAACAAUCCCUGACUAUUAAGCGAUUGGCGGCAUCUCUCAAACCAGGGCGACAAGCCCCCUAAAUGUUUUUCAGAGGUUGCUUGGCCUUAUGGUGGCCGAUGCCUCUGUAAUUUUUUUUGGGUCUGCUUCACAUGUUGCCCCUUCAGUUUUGGCUCAAAGCCCACAUUCCACCCCACGCCUAGCACCUGGGGCAGUUUCCUGUCAGGGUAGACCACAGCUGUAUCAAGGCUGUGGCGCCCUGGAUGACCUCUCACCUGUUCCAAACAGGAAUGAGGUUAGGCAUGACCUCCAGAAGGAAGGUAGUCACGACGGACCCAUCCAACUCAGGUUGGGGCACCCUGUUGGAUGGCAAUCUGGCGAUCGUCUCCUGGUCAGCCCCGGAGCAAUGCCUGCAUAUCUACUGCCUAGAGAUGUUGGCAGUUUUAUAAGCCCUGAAAACCUUCCUUCCAUCCUUGAAAAGGCACAGCGUCUUGGUCCAGUUGGACAGCAUGACGGUGGUGGCUUAUAUCAAUCACCAAGGCGGUCUCAGGUCACACCCUCUUUGCAGGAUGGCUCUUCGCCUCCUCUUUUGGGCACAGAAAGAAUUCCGCUCGCUAAGGGUGGUUCAUGUGCCGGGCAGAUUGAACCUUGACGCAGACAUGCUAUCCAGGGGCAAGGUAGAAGUUUCAGAUGUAUGUUUUGAUCACACCUUCUGUUUCCCAUUUCUAUAAGUAUACAUCUUUAAGGUUUAAGUUGCUAUGUGCUUUGUUUAUUUGGAUGAUGGAGAGGAAGGGGAUGCAUCUCAACAAACUUGUGAGAUGGAACCUAUACGUAGCUGUGCAAAUUUUACUAUAUCUAUAUACAAGUGUGACUUUUGUGGUUGAGAAAAUGUAUAAUUAUAACUAUGCUUUAGAGGUGUUAUGGAUAUUUUUAUGAGCAGUUGCAUGCUUUACUAAUAGACCCUGCAAUUCUUCCAUUUGUACUUUUGACACUCUGUAUUAAGUGUGAUAAACGUCAUGCACUCGGUCUGUGUAUGAAUAUAGGAGACUGCCAAAUAAGGAAGGCAGGGAAGUUGAUGCAAAUUUUAUGCAAGGCUAUAAAAGGCCAAGGAGAGCUUUGUGCGGGGCCACACUCCGAUGGUGAAGACUUACUCGCUGUUAUUUUCAUUUUUUAUUACUUAUGAGUUAUUGUCUAAUAAAGCAAAGCCAUUACAAAUGGUGAUGCGUUAAAACUUUAUUAAAAGAAAAGUCUCUGAGUAAUUUAUUUAUGAGUAACAUUAUUCUGGAACUGAAUAUUCCUUUCGAGCCUCAAGAAGUAUGAACUCAGCUGAGUAGAUUUGGGUGCCGGGGAGGAUUCAAAGUCUUUUCGUCACAUAUCCAGAUUCCUCAGAGGAAAGGACAAAUGAUUUGCAG